rnacentral:tRNA from 1 species
GCGCCCGUAGCUCAGUCCGGAUAGAGUAACUGACUACGAAUCAGGAGGUCGCAGGUUCAAAUCCUGCCGGGCGUGCCA